rnacentral:lncRNA from 1 species
CAGGGAGUUGAACAUUCACUCGCUAAAGCCUAGGGAAAACAACCAGAAUGGAGGUUGUCCAGGCUUUCAGAGUGGCACAGCAAGAAAAGUGCACUAUUGUAACAGAAUCGGGAGCAGAAAUCACAGAUGGCACAGUAUGAAAAUAACCCAACUUUUAUUUUCUCUCCUUUUUCCCCCAGCAGCAUAAAAAAGAACUGCCUGGACUAGGAAGUUUUUGGAAAGCUAGAUGUUACAAGAGAUGCAGCACUGACAGACGCACUGCUCUUCUGGUGCAGAAGACAGAGACCCUGGGAGGGCUUUUGGGGCCCUUCACUCCUCCAUCAGCGAGUCGUCUGCCUUAUCACAAGGUGUCGAAUAACAGAUUAGAAUUUGAAGCCACGUUUCAGAAUCAAGUGCAAGCUCAAUGAUGAGGUAAGAGAUGAAAAGGCAAUUGAUUUGUAUUUGCAAACUAUGUCUUUACCUUGAUCAAAAUGAGGUGGUCUA